rnacentral:rRNA from 1 species
UACGGGGGGUGCAAGCGUUGUCCGGAUUUAUUGGGUUUAAAGGGUGCGUAGGCGGCUGUAUAAGUCAGUGUUUAAAUUUUGCAGCUUAACUGUAGGUAAGGCAUUGAUACUGUAUAGCUAGAGAUAGGAAGAGGUUUGAGGAAUUUAUGGAGUAGCGGUGAAAUGCAUAGAUACCAUAAAGAAGGUCGAUAGCGAAGGCAUUGAACUGGUCCUAUACUGACGCUGAGGCACGAAAGUGUGGGGAUCAAACAGG